UUUAAUUUUUUAAAAUUUAAUUAUAAUUGAUAAAUAAAUAAUUAUUAAUUUAUUAAUUAUAGUAAAAAAAGUCCACCGUAUCAUAAACAUAUCAUAUGCAUCUGUGUCAAAUGAGGUUAAGUCGGCCAUAUUUUUAUUUUGGUAUUUUGCUGAGGAAGAAACCGAGUUUCUUCAAAAUCACUAUACUUAUUUUAGUGUAGGAAAAAACUUUGGUAAAUGGCACCGUGCAAAAAGGUCUAUUACCAAAACCUGGUUUGAGUAGUUAAAUUUUUUAACGCCAGAUGGCGAGUACGUCACCGCCAUAAGAAUACAUGACCUGGUUUAGGUAGUGCUGUUUUCGACCACAAGGUGGUGUCUUGCAAUUACCAUUUACCAAUUCUCCACACAGGUAUACCAGUUUCUUUACAGGAGGGAAAAAUUUCCUAGGUGGAAAAAAACUUUUUUUUCAGUGUGUUGUUGUUUUAAAAUGCCAAAGAGAAGACGACCUGACUUAGGUCGUCGAAGUCAAUCAAAUAUGCGACAAGCUACCUCACGUUCAAAUCGCACUGACGAUCAUAAAUAAAUCGCAAGGCCAGUCGUUGAAAAUUUGCGGAAUCAACUUUAUUAGCUUAAGCCUUUAUUAUUUACGCACCGCAAAAAAAAGAUAAAAAAUAUAGUACAUCAGAAAGCUUUAAAUUGAUUAAGUGUAUAAUUGUGUUGCAUUAAAUGUAAAUAAAAAUUUUGUAUUCAGUUUUGACCACCAUUUUCACAAAUAUAUGUAGGUGAUACGAAGUUCACCGGGUCGUCUAGUACAUUAUAAGAUUCAAAUUAUUUAUUGAACUCUUUUAACCUGAAUAAAUUUUGAAUCAGUUACUUCAACCUUAUUUUUUUAGUGUUGAUACUUUGAUCUUGUCUAUUUUUGUGACUUGUUUUACGUUCUUUGUUAAAUUUUAUCAUUAUUUUUUAUUAUAUUAUAAUCCUCCAAUUAAAUGGAGAUUUUCUUUACCAAUUGGCGUGAAAGUCAUGAAACACGAUCAUAAUAUUCUUUAUAUUCACAAAAUAAAAUGUAAAAUCACAAAAAAAUUGUGGGAAAUUAAGCUAAUAAAUCCGAUGAAGAUCUAAAAAGUUUUUCACUGUUCGUCUCAAUGCAAGCUCCGAUUAAGAAAGAAAAAAUAAAUGUAUGAAUUAAAUUAAAAUAUUAAUCAACUUACAUUAAUGUACAUUUGAAUUCAAACGCGAAAUCUAGUAUAACCGCAGUUAAAACAGUCUUAACAAACUUCGGUUGAAGAUGAUAGUCUGGAGGCAGCAUCAGUUUAAUUUUUUUAUAAAACUUGUUUCGUAUUGAAUAAUCUCUUCAAGAAAUAAGAAAUAUUAUAUAACAUGAUUGUUGUAUUCAUUCUUAUCAAAAUAUAAUGUGGUAGAAAGUGCUGCCCUUCAUAAAAUGUAUAUGGUAUAGAUAAAAUGAAAAACUUUAAAUAAUAAUAAUAAGUAUGGAUGGAUGCAGUAAAGUCAAGUGCCAAAUCCAUGUUGUAAUAUACAUUUGUGUUUUAUAUGGGAAAAGUAUAAUGAUUAUGUUUGCAUGGCAUAGUCUAUUAUUUAUUUCACUUUAAUAAUUAGUCAAACUAUUUGCCGAUAAUAAAAGAUUCAUUAAUAUUUUCUUAAUAUUUGUCAUAAAUAUAAUAUAUUAAAAAAAUAACAUUGUUAUGGAUUACUGUGAAUUCAAAGGAAUAAAAUUGUUUAUAAAUA
rnacentral:lncRNA from 1 species